CAGAGCCAUGGUGAGGAGGGCAGUGCCUGCCCCGAGCUCUCCGCCUCCCCUGCCCGCCAGCCCAGGCGGUCCCAGCAGCAGCGACCAGAGGAGCCCCAGCAGCAGCACAACGGCCAGGCAGAUGCCUCUAUCCACAGCCUCGUGGUGGACCAGACCUGUUAGGACGCGGCCAUCGUGGGCAACAAGGACUCGCCCUCCAUCUGGGCCACCAUCCCAGGGAAAACCUUCGUGAACAUCACGCCAGCUGAGGUUGGAGUCCUGGUUGGUAAAGACUGGUCAAGCUUUUUUGUGAAUGGGCUGACACUGGGGACUAGAAAUGUACUGUGGUCCCGGACUCACGGCUAUAGGAUGGGGAAUUGACCGUGGAUCUUCAAACGAAGAGCAUCGGUGGAGCCCCCAACUUCAAUGUCACUGGCACCAUGACUGCCAAGACGCUAGGCCUGCUCAUGGGCAAAGUAGGUGUCCACGGCAGUUUCAUCAACAAUAAAUGUUAUGAAAUGGCCUCCCUCCUUCAGCGUUCCCAGUACUGACCUCCUUUGUUCCUUCCCCUCAACCGCUCCCCAUAGUUUGCCCCCCUUUCCUUCUCAUUACACACAUGCACCAUUUUAAUUUUGGGGGCCAUUAUCCCAAACCCCUUAUUGCUGCCAAAACCACAUGGGCUGGGGGCCAGGGAUAGAUGGACAGACACCUUCCUCUACUCAUACCUCUCCUGUGUGUGGCUGGAAAACUUUUUUGUUUUGAGGGUUUUUUAUGAAUAAGAAAGAUUCUACUAA